UCCUCGAUGAAAAUUACGUGCGAGAUACCCGCCGUCGGUUUUGUUGAUAUCGUCGUUUAUCGCAGUAGGCAUUUUAUGAUCGCACUUUGGUGGGGGAUUGCGAGCCCUGUUAUCGUCACGGAGGUCUGACCUUAAUAAAAUCCCAUCUCAGUUAUUCCGGCAAACAGUAAUGGUCGGUCCAUCAUGUCAAUUAUUUUCUUAGCUCUGCUGAUCUUACUUAACUUGCACGCGCGCUUCGGCCCGGCAGACGGCGAGGUGAAGAUCAGAAACACGUACGCCUACAACGUCAUCUCCACUACAGUUCCCACAUUCUUGGGCAGUAUUUUUCAAUUUCCUGACCGGCCUUGCCCGCCCGGCUACAGGAGAGCUGCAGGAAAAUGCAGGAGAAUCUAUGGAGGCAGUUGAAGUUUUAAAAAAGUUCUAUAGUAAAUAAAGCAAACAUUGGAGAUUAGCGUAAGCUCAGGUGUGCAAGCUUUUCAACUUUGGCCAAUGAAAGAGGAACUGGCAUCACAAGAGUCCACCAGGAUCAAUAGCAAAGGAUAAAGGGAGUUAAAAGCUAAGGAAGUGAAGUGAAGACUCACCCAAGCUUGCAGCCGCUUUCUCUAUCACUAUAAUAUUAUAUUAAUGUAUUAUGUAUUUUAUUUCUUGUUAAGUUUGUAAGUUUAUUAUAUAUUAGUUAUUUUGAUAUAUUUUGUUAAAAUUAUUGUAUUGUGAUAUUAAAGAUGUUUGGAUGGUGCUAAGCUUUAAUAUAUUAAUUUUAGCUUAAUAAUAUAUGCAAUUUGUAUAAUAUAUUAUGUUUAAUAAUAUAAGUUAAUACAUAUUAAUUAACACCCUAAAAUAAAAGAUUUUUAGUAUUUUUGUCAUUAUGGUGGAUAAAAACAUUAUAAUUAGUUUAGAUAAAUUGUGUUAUAUUAAAAAAUAUUUUUUAACAAUUCAGAAUUGAUGAUCGAGUC